AGAAAUAUUCACUUUCAUUCAUUUCAUUUGACACAUGCUAACAUGUUUUAUUCAGAUGCGUUCCUUAUUCUUGUCCCUUUGUCGACAGGAAAACAUUUUUUUUUUUAGGUUUUUUUUUAACUUUCCCAAUAUUCCGAAUCCACCAAAUAUGGACUAACUCUGCCGGCGAGCUGUUGUUAAAUAUGUACUUAAAAGCACCUGGUCUUUUUCCACCUAAUUUCCCAGGCGAGGGACCGUUGCCGUGACAAUCAACAACACCCGCCGUCGUCGUGUGGGUUGCAUGGACCACCCAGGAAGGACAUCUCUCUUGAGCAGGUUUGACUCUUUUAUUCUUUCAAUAACAAGCUUGUCUUUCGGUCCGGUCGCUUUUCAGCUCCUUCCCUCCUGCUCGUUCUUCGCUCUCUUCAGUCGGCUGCGUCGUUGUUGUCGUUCUCCCUUUUUAUACAGCAGGAGGAGAUUAAUUAAUUGUGUGCCGGUGUGUGUGCCACGCACCUGAUUUAGAUUGUAGUGGCGUCGCUCCCAGCAAGCCCCGCCUCUCCGAUCCGCCGCAUCCUUCGUCUCCUUGCAGCCAUCUUGGGCAGGGCUGCAGCGUGUCCUGCCCCGCCGUCGACCCGUUAGCUCUGCCUCUCCACAGUUUUAUUUUAUCUUAUUUUUUUUUUCAUUUCAUUUUUAUUGACAUCCAGCAUUUGCCCUUCCUAUGCAUUGCAUCAUAUUUACAUACAUCAUAUAUCUGUUGUCUGCCCUGUCAAUUUUGUUUGUUUGUUUAUAUCCCAACGAUGCCACCGCCUCCCACAAAAGAAAGAAACAGCAAGAAAACAAAAUACAAAUAUAUACAGAUAAAUCAUUUAAAUAAAGAAAAAGGAAAUUAAUAUUAAUAAUCUCUCUUUCAGAGAUGUGUGAAAAUUGAAAAGAUGACAGAAAAAUAAUAAAAUCUUGGGGUUCGUCACCAGCUGUUCCUGGCAUUAUUAUUUUAUUAUUAUUGUUAUAUCCUAUUAACUUAUAAAAUGUCUGAGCUGAUACUACUACUACUAUGUUUAGUACAAUUUUGUGAUUUAAAAUAAAUAAAAGUAUUUACACAAUCAGCCUAGAGUAAUUUAAAAUAAAUUAACUUUGUAUUGAAAUGAUGAACAUCAUUUAUUGUCCUAUAAUGCCUAAAAUCUGAAGACUAGGAAUCCAUCCCAUCCAUCCAUCCAUUUUCUACCGCUUAUUCCCUUUCGGGGUCGCGGGGGGCGCUGGCGCCUAUCUCAGCUACAAUCGGGCGGAAGGCAGGGUACACCCUGGACAAGUCGCCACCUCAUCGCAGGAGGACUAGGAAAAUAACCAAAAUUUUUCCUGACAAUUUUUAUUAACCAUUAUCCAACCAAAUUGUUUUAAAUUGUUUUAAAAUUGUAUUUAUUAUUUUCAUUCUUUUACAUCAUUUAUUGAUUUUAUAAUUCCACAAUAUGUUAUGGUUUUUAAAGUUUAUUAUUGUUUUUGUAAGAUUUAUAUGAUGUAUUAUUACCAGCUAUCCAUUCAUCUUCUUCCGCUUAUCCGAGGUCGGAUUGCGGGGACAGCAGCCUAAGCAGAGAAGCCCAGACUUCCCUCUCUCAGCCACUUUGUCCAGCUCAUCCCGGGGGAUCCCGAGGCGUUCCCGGGCCAGGCGGGAGACAUAGUCUUCCCAACGUGUCCUGGGUCUUCCCCGUGGCCUCCUACCAGUAGGACGUGCCUGAAACACCUCCAUAGGGAGGCGUUCGGGUGGCAUCCAGACCACCUCAUCUGGCUCCUCUCGAAGAGGGAGGGGGUCCGGUCCGAUGACCAUGGAUGAAGUACUGGCUGUCCAGAGUCGAGACCCAGGAUGGACCGCUCGCCUGUAUCGAUUGGGGACAUCUCUACGCUGCUGAUCCGCCUCCGCUUGAGAUGGUCUCCUGUGGACGGGACUCUCGCUGCUGUCUUGGAUCCGCUUUGAACUGAACUCUCGCGGCUGUGUUGGAGCCACUAUGGAUUGAACUUUCACAGUAUCAUGUUGGACCCGCUCGACAUCCAUUGCUUUCGGUCCCCUAGAGGGGGGGGGUUGCCCACAUCUGAGGUCCUCUCCAAGGUUUCUCAUAGUUAGCAUUGUCACUGGCGUCCCACUGGAUGUGAAUUCUCCCUGCCCACUGGGUGUGAGUUUUCCUUGCCCUUUUGUGGGUUCUUCCGAGGAUGUUGUAGUCGUAAUGAUUUGUGCAGUCCUUUGAGACAUUUGUGAUUUGGGGCUAUAUAAAUAAACAUUGAUUGAUUGAUUGAUUGACUUCUAGAAACUUACUUGCAGUGUAGAAGUUAAAAUUAGGGAUGCAGCAAUUAAUCGGUAACCGAAUAUAUUCGGCCGAAUAUGGCAAAAAAAGCCACAUUCGGCCUUCGUUGGAAUGAGUUAAAAACAAGGCCGAAUAGUGGCGUGUGACGCAAUUUUUUGACGCGGUGACGCAAUCAACCAACGUGCAGUGACGCGGUGACGUUGGGAUAUGUUGUAUACCUGUAUAAGUGUAAGAGGUUACAAGCACACACUUAUUGAGAUUUACUUGAGCCUUCUGUUUACAUUAUUAGCAUAUCUACUGUGGCUAAGCAGACUUUUGCCAAAAGGACAAUAAUUCAUUUGUUGUGGGUUUAUCCACUUUAAUGGACUUUUUUUUUUGGGGGGGGAAUGCAUGUUUUGUUUGAAGGCCUAAUAUAAAUGAAAAACUUUGUGCUUUUUUUGAAAAGUAAAGGCUACUGGAAUAUU